rnacentral:sRNA from 1 species
UCAUAGCCCCGAUGGAAACGGCAUCCUUUUUCUUUUUUAGAAGGGGAAAAAGCUUUGGCAAAAAGAAAAAGAUAUAGUGGACAGCGGGAUUAAGC